UUUCCGUAGGUGAACCGGCGGAAGGAUCAUUAAAGAGUAAGGGUCUCCGGGCCCGAUCUCCAACCCUUUGUUUAACUACCAUGUUGCUUUGGCGGGCCCGUCUCACGACCGCCGGAAGUUUGGCUUCGACCAAACUUCUGGCCCGUGCCCGUCAGUGGCCCCUUCAAAUUCUUGAUCAAGUAUGAUGUCUUAGUUAAAAACUUAAUAGUUAAAACUUUCAACAACGGAUCUCUUGGUUCUG
rnacentral:misc_RNA from 1 species